GGUAAUGCCGGAUGCUCCGACUCCUCGCAUGGGGUGUCGGGAAAGAUUUCAUCGGUAUGGGAUGGGGUCGCGUCCUAUCAGGUAGUCGGCGGGGUAACGGCCCACCGAGCCUACGACGGGUAGCCGGCCUGAGAGGGCGACCGGCCACAUUGGGACUGAGAUACGGCCCAGACUCCUACGGGAGGCAGCAGUGGGGAAUAUUGCACAAUGGGCGCAAGCCUGAUGCAGCGACGCCGCGUGCGGGAUGACGGCCUUCGGGUUGUAAACCGCUUUUGAUCGGGAGCAAGCCUUCGGGUGAGUGUACCUUUCGAAUAAGCACCGGCUAACUACGUGCCAGCAGCCGCGGUAAUACGUAGGGUGCAAGCGUUAUCCGGAAUUAUUGGGCGUAAAGGGCUCGUAGGCGGUUCGUCGCGUCCGGUGUGAAAGUCCAUCGCUUAACGGUGGAUCUGCGCCGGGUACGGGCGGGCUGGAGUGCGGUAGGGGAGACUGGAAUUCCCGGUGUAACGGUGGAAUGU
rnacentral:rRNA from 1 species